UAAAAUAGAAUUUGUGGAUCAAAUGACAAAUACAAUACUAUGGAAUAGCGAACUGUUACUAUGGAAUAGUGAAUAUUUAAUGGUAAAGUUGUACUGUAGUACCUUAGAACAUUGAAAGGCUAAAAUUGGUAAACAAAAACUUUGUUUGAGUCCAACAUGUGCACAGGGGCAAGAGGGGUGUGUUGUUUACAAACAUAUUUGCCGAUUCUCUGUUGUCAAGUCGACGCGAAUUUCCAACGGAGGAAAUUUUUUGCUAUAUUUUAACAACCAUUAUAACGUUAAUUUAACUUACUUGUGUUGUAUUUUAUAGGAAAAUUUAAAUUAAAAAAUAUAAAUACUACAAUUAACCUAUUUUAAGAAUAAAUAUAAUAUCCUUAAGCAAAAAAAAACAAAAUUAUUAACAUUCUUAUCCCUAAAACCGUUUCUAAAAAAUUUGAAGCGACAACACCGGAACUUAAGCGCCUGAGCCAUACGCAUAGUGUCAUCUGUCAAACGGCUUUUUGUUUAUGUUCGGGAUUCGUGUAUUUUCUUUAAUUUUUUGGUUUCAAAAGGAAAAAGGUCACAUUUUAGUGUUUUUUUAAGUUGCUAGGAUGGCAAAAACUUGUGUCGUUUGUGCCGCAUCAUGAUAAAAAGGUGAUUCAAGCCGAUCUUUUCACAAGAUUUCUGAUGCACUGGUUAAAAACACAGCAGCCGAUAAUUCAAUUAAUUUACCAAGUGAUUUACCCUUCAAAGCUGCAAGGGUAGUUUUCCUGAAGAGUGCAAAAACUUCUUUAGCUUCCAAAAUGGUAUAUAGUACAAACAGUGAAGCUAAUAUAGACAAAUCAUUCAUCAUCAACAAUAACUGCAUCUGAGAUUAAUAGUUACUGUGGGGUCUAGGUCAACAAUUACUAUUUCCCAUCCAAUCCGUUUUUGGUUAACUGCUACACAUUCCCUGACUUUGUCAAGGAAAAGGUAAAAAUACACUCAAAAUAGACAUCAUUAUAGCACAUUUAAAAAUUA